rnacentral:lncRNA from 1 species
CGUGGAAGUGGCGCUCCUGGAUUUGAUGAUGGCUUAUGUCGAAGAUCCUAAAUCCCCCAGCAUCCAGGAGAAACUCCGGGGGCUGCAGCAGGAACUGGAGGCGCAGAGGAAAGAUGAGUGCCACCACAGCUGGAUGUCUGAGAUAAUCCAGAGCUGGACCGAGAUCUCCCUGGAAGAGCAGGAGCAGUUCCUGGAAUACCUGGCCUAUUGCUUCCAGAGGCAGGAGCAGGACCCCAGGUGGCGAGUGCAAACAUCACUGAUGGGUGAGGUUGCAUAUUGGGACUAUUUUGUUUUUCUGUUUAAAACUUCUAUAUGCUGCUCCAAGUGGGAAUGGG